ACUGCUUUUAAGCAAUUUUUUGUUGGUUUUAGCCUCUUUUGGGACAAAAUGGGUAUAAGUGUUAUCUAAACACUCCUAAUCCAUCUCUAACUCUUAUGAUUAGUCAAACGCAUUGGAUUCUGACACAUUUUGACCAUAAAAACACUAACAAAAGUGUUUACUGCUUCUAAGCAAUGUUUUGUUGGUUUUAGCCUCUUUUGAGAGAAAAUAGGUAUUAAGUAUUGUCUAAAAACUCCUAAUCCAUCUCUAACUCUUAUAAUUAGUCACAUGCAUUGGAUUCUUACACAUUUUUACCAUAAAAACACUAACAAAACUGUUUAGUACUUCUAAGCAAUUUUUUAUUGGUUUUA
rnacentral:sRNA from 1 species